ACAUGCAAGUCGAACGAAGUAGCAAUACUUAGUGGCAGACGGGUGAGUAACAUGUGGGUAUCUUCCCUUUGGCCUGGAAUAACACGAGGAAACUUGUGCUAAUACCGGAUAAGUCUUUACGGAGAAAGCUUUAUGCACCAUUGGAUGAGCCCGCACUUGAUUAGUUAGUUGGUGGGGUAAUGGCCUACCAAGACUUUGAUCAAUAGCUGAUUUGAGAGGAUGAUCAGCCACAUUGGGACUGAGACACGGCCCAAACUCCUACGGGAGGCAGCAGUGGGGAAUCUUGCACAAUGGAGGAAACUCUGAUGCAGCGAUGCCGCGUGAGUGAAGAAGGCCCUUGGGUUGUAAAGCUCUUUCGUCGGGGAAGAAAAUGACUGUACCCGAAUAAGAAGGUCCGGCUAACUUCGUGCCAGCAGCCGCGGUAAUACGAAGGGACCUAGCGUAGUUCGGAAUUACUGGGCUUAAAGAGUUCGUAGGUGGUUGAAAAAGUUGGUGGUGAAAUCCCAGAGCUUAACUCUGGAACUGCCAUCAAAACUUUUCAGCUAGAGUUUGAUAGAGGAAAGCAGAAUUUCUAGUGUAGAGGUGAAAUUCGUAGAUAUUAGAAAGAAUACCAAUUGCGAAGGCAGCUUUCUGGAUCAUUACUGACACUGAGGAACGAAAGCAUGGGUAGCGAAGAGGAUUAGAUACCCUCGUAGUCCAUGCCGUAAACGAUGUGUGUUAGACGUUGGAAAUUUAUUUUCAGUGUCGCAGCAAAAGCGAUAAACACACCGCCUGGGGAGUACG
rnacentral:rRNA from 1 species